UGCAGUCGAACGAUGAACCCCGCUUGCGGGGGGAUUAGUGGCGAACGGGUGAGUAACACGUGAGUAACCUGCCCUUAACUCUGGGAUAAGCCUUGGAAACGGGGUCUAAUACUGGAUAUUGACUUACUGCCGCAUGGUGGAAAGUUGAAAGAUUUAUUGGUUUUGGAUGGACUCGCGGCCUAUCAGCUUGUUGGUGAGGUAAUGGCUCACCAAGGCGACGACGGGUAGCCGGCCUGAGAGGGUGACCGGCCACACUGGGACUGAGACACGGCCCAGACUCCUACGGGAGGCAGCAGUGGGGAAUAUUGCACAAUGGGCGAAAGCCUGAUGCAGCGACGCCGCGUGAGGGAUGACGGCCUUCGGGUUGUAAACCUCUUUCAGUAGGGAACAAGGCCAGUGUUUAGCUGGUUGAGGGUACUUGCAGAAGAAGCGCCGGCUAACUACGUGCCAGCAGCCGCGGUAAUACGUAGGGCGCAAGCGUUAUCCGGAAUUAUUGGGCGUAAAGAGCUCGUAGGCGGUUUGUCGCGUCUGCCGUGAAAGUCCGGGGCUCAACCCCGGAUCUGCGGUGGGUACGGGCAGACUAGAGUGAUGUAGGGGAGACUGGAAUUCCUGGUGUAGCGGUGAAAUGCGCAGAUAUCAAGGAGGAACACCGAUGGCGAAGGCAGGUCUCUGGGCAUUAACUGACGCUGAGGAGCGAAAGCAUGGGGAGCGAACAGGAUUAGAUACCCUGGUAGUCCAUGCCGUAAACGUUGGGCACUAGGUGUGGGGGACAUUCCACGUUUUCCGCGCCGUAGCUAACGCAUUAAGUGCCCCGCCUGGGGAGUACGGCCGCAAGGCUAAAACUCAAAGGAAUUGACGGGGGCCCGCACAAGCGGCGGAGCAUGCGGAUUAAUUCGAUGCAACGCGAAGAACCUUACCAAGGCUUGACAUGAACUGGAAACACCUGGAAACAGGUGCCCCGCUUGCGGUCGGUUUACAGGUGGUGCAUGGUUGUCGUCAGCUCGUGUCGUGAGAUGUUGGGUUAAGUCCCGCAACGAGCGCAACCCUCGUUCUAUGUUGCCAGCACGUAAUGGUGGGGACUCAUAGGAGACUGCCGGGGUCAACUCGGAGGAAGGUGAGGACGACGUCAAAUCAUCAUGCCCCUUAUGUCUUGGGCUUCACGCAUGCUACAAUGGCCGGUACAAUGGGUUGCGAUACUGUGAGGUGGAGCUAAUCCCAAAAAGCCGGUCUCAGUUCGGAUUGGGGUCUGCAACUCGACCCCAUGAAGUCGGAGUCGCUAGUAAUCGCAGAU
rnacentral:rRNA from 1 species